ensembl:processed_transcript 1700001G11Rik RIKEN cDNA 1700001G11 gene
AGGGCCCGGCUCCAUCGCAGGAGCAGCCGCCGUCACCACCACCGGUGUCGCCGCCUUCAUGCCUAGCCUGCGGGCGUUGUCCCUGCUGAAGAUCUGGGAGCUUAAGGCGGCUCCAACCAAUCACGGAUGGGCUUUGAGGGCGUGGACCCUCCCACUUCCGUCUUGCGCGGGGUCUCCCAGAGGAGGUGUGGUCCGCGAUCUCCGUUAGCUCCAAGGCGGAAGGAUCUGUCGUCCCACUGCAGUGUCGGGUUUCCGUUGUCAAAUAGGAAGUGAAGCCACGGGCCGCCAUCCUUAAGCAAUUCCCGCUAUCUCAGACUCCUGAACCACAGACGGGAUGGUUUAUAAAGAAUAGAGGUUCCAGAGGCAGGGAUAUUCAAGAACUGUGUGCCAGCCUUCCUGCUGCAUCUUGAUGCGAUAGAGAGAGUCACAUGCCCAGACAGACAAGCCUGCCUGCUCAGAUCUCACUUCUUCCUGUAAAGCCACUGGUGGUGUUUAUGGAAAGUCCAUGCUGGAAUAGAGCUAACAAGGACUGGGCUCUGCCCUCAUCGCCUCAUUUGAAGAACCUCCUUCUACAAGCCUCAUUUCAAUUAGCAACUCCAAUUUAAGGAUUGAGUUUCCAAGGCAUGGACUUUUGGGUGUCUGCUGAAACCCUGGCAAAGAAGGACGGCAUGCCUACCUCCCUUCUAGCCUCCCCUCCUCUUUCUCUCUCCUCCUUUCUGUUUAAAGCAGAGAUCAAGGAAUAAAAGCAAGGAUUGUUCUAUGGC